rnacentral:misc_RNA from 1 species
GAUGAAGAACGUAGCGAAAUGCGAUAAGUAAUGUGAAUUGCAGAAUUCAGUGAAUCAUCGAAUCUUUGAACGCACAUUGCGCCCCCUGGUAUUCCGGGGGGCAUGCCUGUUCGAGCGUCAUUUCACCACUCAAGCCUCGCUUGGUAUUGGGCAUCGCGGUCCGCCGCGUGCCUCAAAUCGACCGGCUGGGUCUUCUGUCCCCUAAGCGUUGUGGAAACUAUUCGCUAAAGGGUGUUCGGGAGGCUACGCCGUAAAACAACCCCAUUUCUAAGGUUGACCUCGGAUCAGGUAGGGAUACCCGCUGAACUUAAGCAUAUCAAUAAGCGGAGGA